rnacentral:rRNA from 1 species
UACGUAGGGGGCAAGCGUUGUCCGGAAUCAUUGGGCGUAAAGAGCGUGUAGGCGGCCUGAUAAGUCGGCUGUGAAAGUCAAGGGCUCAACCCUUGAAUGCCGGCCGAUACUGUCAGGCUAGAGUCCGGAAGAGGCGAGUGGAAUUCCUGGUGUAGCGGUGAAAUGCGCAGAUAUCAGGAGGAACACCCGUGGCGAAAGCGGCUCUCUGGGACGGUACUGACGCUGAGACGCGAAAGCGUGGGGAGCAAACAGG